rnacentral:rRNA from 1 species
GACGAACGCUGGCGGCGUGCUUAACACAUGCAAGUCGAACGGAAAGGCCCUGCUUUUGUGGGGUGCUCGAGUGGCGAACGGGUGAGUAACACGUGAGUAACCUGCCCUUGACUUUGGGAUAACUUCAGGAAACUGGGGCUAAUACCGGAUAGGAGCUCCUGCUGCAUGGUGGGGGUUGGAAAGUUUCGGCGGUUGGGGAUGGACUCGCGGCUUAUCAGCUUGUUGGUGGGGUAGUGGCCUACCAAGGCUUUGACGGGUGGCCGGCCUGAGAGGGUGACCGGCCACAUUGGGACUGAGAUACGGCCCAGACUCCUACGGGAGGCAGCAGUGGGGAAUAUUGCACAAUGGGCGGAAGCCUGAUGCAGCAACGCCGCGUGCGGGAUGACGGCCUUCGAGUUGUAAACCGCUUUCGCCUGUGAUGAAGCGUGAGUGACGGUAAUGGGUAAAGAAGCACCGGCUAACUACGUG